rnacentral:rRNA from 1 species
AUUGAACGCUGGCGGCAUGCCUUACACAUGCCAGUCGAACGGCAGCACGGGUGCUUGCCCCUGGUGGUGAGUGGCGAACGGGUGAGUAAUACAUCGGAACAUGUCCUGUAGUGGGGGAUAGCCCGGCGAAAGCCGGAUUAAUACCGCAUACGAUCUACGGAUGAAAGCGGGGGACCUUCGGGCCUCGCGCUAUAGGGUUGGCCGAUGGCUGAUUAGCUAGUUGGUGGGGUAAAGGCCUACCAAGGCGACGAUCAGUAGCUGGUCUGAGAGGACGACCAGCCACACUGGGACUGAGACACGGCCCAGACUCCUACGGGAGGCAGCAGUGGGGAAUUUUGGACAAUGGGCGAAAGCCUGAUCCAGCAAUGCCGCGUGUGUGAAGAAGGCCUUCGGGUUGUAAAGCACUUUUGUCCGGAAAGAAAUCCUUGGCCCUAAUACGGUCGGGGGAUGACGGUACCGGAAGAAUAAGCACCGGCUAACUACGUG